AUGAGCAAGCAGGUUCUCUGCUUGGUAGCUCUUUGUCUCCUUGCAGUAGGAACCACACAUGGUGGUGCCAUUACUCAGAAACCCAAGUUCCUGAUUGGUCAUGAAGGGCAAGAGCUGACCUUGAAAUGUGAACAGGAUUUCAAUCAUGAUUCAAUGUUCUGGUACCGACAAGAUCCAGGGAAAGGACUGAGACUGAUCUACUACUCAAUAACUGAAGGCGAUCUUCAAAAAGGCGACCUAUCUGAAGGCUACGAUGCCUCUCGAGAGGAGAAGGCAUCUUUUUCUCUCACUGUGAAAUCUGCCCAGAAGAGGCAGAUGGCUGUUUAUCUCUGUGCCAGCAGCAUAGCACAGUGGAGAACAGCUACCCCCUGUUCAUGCAUAAAUGCGCCCAAGUCCUGCUUCCCCCACCAGGUGGCUCUUAGGUCCUCCCCUAACCACUGUCCUCUCACUCAGCCAGGACCUAAAGCAAAGUAG